AAGUCGUAACAAGGUAACCGUAGGUGAACCUGCGGUUGGAUCAUUAAAAAAAUAAUUAGGUUGACCACCCUUUAAUUUCUUUUUUGGAGAGAGAGGGUGAGUGGUCAACUGAAAAAAAAUUGAUGCCUUUAUCCCUAAAAAGAGGAGGUCAUUAAACCCCAAAUUUUGUGCACUUAUUUUGUAUUUUUUGUCAUUCCUUGCUUUUAAAUUUAAAGCCAGAUUUUUAUUAAUCUGUUGGAUGGCAAGCCAUUUACUGGUAGGCCUUUGUUGUGCUUUGCCGGUUACCCAUUUUAAAAUAAACCUUUUGAAAAACUUGUCUUUAAAUUAAAAUUUUUUUAUUUCCAAUGGAAAAAAAAACAACUUUUGACAACGGAUCUCUAGGCUCUC
rnacentral:misc_RNA from 1 species